rnacentral:rRNA from 1 species
AAACCUGAGAGUCUGAUCCUGGCUCAGAGCGAACGCUGGCGGCAGGCUUAACACAUGCAAGUCGAACGAGAAGCCGGGCUUCGGCCCGGUGGACAGUGGCGCACGGGUGAGUAACGCGUGGGAACCUGCCCAUGAGUGGGGAAAAACGGUUGGAAACGACCGCUAAUUCCGCAUACGCCCUACGGGGGAAAGGCUUCGGCCGCUCAUGGAUGGGCCCGCGUCCGAUUAGCUUGUUGGUGAGGUAAUGGCUCACCAAGGCGACGAUCGGUAGCUGGUCUGAGAGGACGAUCAGCCACAUUGGGACUGAGACACGGCCCAGACUCCUACGGGAGGCAGCAGUGGGGAAUAUUGGACAAUGGGCGAAAGCCUGAUCCAGCAAUGCCGCGUGUGUGACGAAGGCCUUAGGGUUGUAAAGCACUUUCACCCGCGAGGAUGAUGACGGUAGCGGGAGAAGAAGCCCCGGCUAACUCCGUGCCAGCAGCCGCGGUAAUACGGAGGGGGCGAGCGUUGUUCGGAAUUACUGGGCGUAAAGGGCGUGUAGGCGGCCUUGUCAGUCAGGCGUGAAAUCCCCGGGCUCAACCUGGGAC